rnacentral:rRNA from 1 species
GUAGUCUUGGCCAUAAACGAUGUUCACUAGGUGUCGGGGGUUUCCCUCGGUGCCGCAGCUAACGCAUUAAGUGAACCGCCUGGGGACUACGGCCGCAAGGUUGAAACUCAAAGGAAUUGGCGGGGGCCCGCACAAGCGGUGGAGCAUGUGGCUUAAUUCGAUGCAACGCGAAGAACCUUACCAGGGCUUGACAUGUAGCUGCAAGCUGCCGAAACGUAGCCGCCUUCGAGGGUGCUACACAGGUGGUGCAUGGCUGUCGUCAGCUCGUGUUGUGAAAUGUUGGGUUAAGUCCCGCAACGAGCGCAACCCUCAUGUUUUGUUACCAGCGAGUAAAGUCGGGGACUCAAAACAAACUGCCUCUGUAAAGAGGA